rnacentral:misc_RNA from 1 species
GAUGAAGAACGUAGCGAAAUGCGAUAAGUAAUGCGAAUUGCAGAUUUCAGUGAGUCGUCGAAUCUUUGAACGCACAUUGCGCCCGCCAGUAUUCUGGCGGGCAUGCCUGUUCGAGCGUCAUUUCAACCAUCAAGCCCCCGGGCUUGCGUUGGGGCCCUGCGGCUGCCGCAGGCCCCGAAAAGCAGUGGCGGGCUCGCUGUCACACCGAGCGCAGUAGCGAUUCUCGCUCCGGGCGUCGGCGGCGGGCACCGGCCGUGAAACCCCCCCCCAUCCACAAGGUUGACCUCGGAUCAGGUAGGAAUACCCGCUGAACUUAAGCAUAUCAAUAAGCGGAGGA